CCCAGAGGGAGUAUGUUGUGUUUCCUCCUGUUCUUUAUCAAAGUCCCCAAAAAUAAGCAGGAAUGGGCAGUGACUAGGCACAGUCUCUACACACCUUUUUCCAUGGAGUAAUUAAGGCCUGCCUCAGAGUAAGAGAGCACUCCCUGCCCAGCUGUGCAAGGGAGAGCUGACAGCACCACUACCACCACCACCAAGCAUGAAGCUCCUCGGGAUUGCCUUCUUUCUUCUAGCUGUACCCUCUGUUUGCACUGUGGGAGUAACAGCAGCUGUGACCACAUCAGCUUCACAAUCAACAACACUGCAAGGGUCAGUGCUGAUGACAACUGCAAUCAGACCUACAAAUGAAUCCAUCACAAGCCACUCCACAUCGCCUGCACCUCAUACUACACAACAAAUAACACAAGGUACAACAACACAAACACCAGUAAAAGUGACCACUACAGCAGCAGAUAAAGAUGGCAUCACAACAAACACAGGGAAAGCUGUAUCACCACCAGGGAGUUCUACUGCUUCAGCAAUCGGCCCCAUUCGGACAGCUACACAAGCAAGUGGAACACAAUUGGCACAAAAUGAGAGUUUGGAUGCUUCAUCUACUACAGGAUGGUCGUCAUCGUCUUUUUCCACAACCUCUCUACAAAACACCACUUCUGCUCCUGGAACCUCAGACUUUCACGUGAGCACCCCGACAGAAACGACAACUUCUGGCAGUCCUGGGGAGAAUAAAGUGCCAGAGGAUGCUAUCCACUACUCUAGUGUUAUCUUGCCAAUUGUCAUCACCUUGAUAGUCAUUACCCUUUUUGUCUUCUUGCUGGUGGCUUUGUACAGGAUGUGCAAGAAGAAAACUCCAGAGAGACAAGAGAACGGCACUGAACAGGCUCAAACAGAUAAAGAAGGAGUCAAACUUCUUUCUGUGAAGACAACUUCUCCUGAGACUGACACUUAAAAUCCAGCUCAAUUAAAAGGUGAAUUAAUUGUCUGACCAUUUAGAAAGUGUGUGUUAUAGCUGCCUCUGACUGUACAUACCAACAAAACUGCAAAAGGUUUUGACUAGAAGUAGAAAGUUCUUAGGAGCAUCCUUAACUUUACAGAUGGUCCUACAUCAUCCUCUCACUAUCAAUAGACUGCUCGGCUGCCGAAGUUCAAACAUACAUACAAAAAAUUUCUGCUUUGACAUGUAUUCAAUUUAAGCUUAUUUAUAAGUAUACUUUAUGGAGUUUUUUAGUUUUUACUUUUAUUAUUCCAAACAGAAGAUUUUGAGAUUGUAUAAAUGUUUCAAGAAUGAGUAAAAAAAACAUAUAUACAAAGCAAGUAAGGAUAUGACCUACAAACUGUUCAAGCAGGCAACCUAGAAAAACCCUGUGUCAGUGUUGUACAUGAUAUAUCUUGAUCAAAUGUUAUGGUGAGUUUAAUCUUGCCUUAUUUUAUCUAUCUAAAAACUAAGCUGACUGCACAUAGUCAGUUGAAAGAGAUCUAUGUGUCCAGAGGGCUAUUUAUCCCAUCUGCCUUGGACACAUAUCUUGAACUGGAAUGAGCUGGCCUAUGGAGGUCCAUUGACUACUGAAGAAUCCUAUUUUAGGACUUCUAUAGCGAGGUUCUGCCUACAAAUUGAAAGAAAAAUGAAAGAUUCCUUUUUCAGAAGCAUAGCUGAAUCAGAUUUAAUCAAGAAUAUUAUUUCAAAUGCCCACAAUUAAUGUGGAAGAACACAGGAGAGCAGUCUUCAGUUAAGCCUGGACUAAAGUAACAUUUUUUAAUUGAGCAAUAUCAUCAGGAACACUAGGUAAAACUGAGCUUUAAUAAUCUUAGUUUUUAAAACUCUUCUUAGAAAGAUGGCAUUGCUGAUGGCUUAUGAGCUCUAAGGUACUACUAGUUGAGAAUUGAUGUAAAGUAAAAAAUCAAACAGACAAAACUAAACACUUCCAAUUUUUCGUCACAUUUGCCAGUUAACUGCAACACCUGAUGCAAGAUAAAUGCCUGUACGUGCUUCUUAUCUGAAAACUCAACUUGGAUAAAAACGCUCAUGAUAGUGAAUAGUUGCGAAAGUUUUACACUAAUGGGCAAAUAAAGGAUUUGCUACAGCCAUUCUGCGUUGACUAUACAGGCAAAUUGAGCGUGGCUCUUCCUAGGGAUAAUAAAUGGUAUUCUAUGAAUACUGAGCUCUAGAAAAUCUACCUGCAAAAAUAUUUCUGGUUUGGGAUUCAACAUAACCCAUAGAAUUGCAUGUUUGACUUGUCAGUGGUAGAUGUGUUUCCCAAGAAUGUAAGACAGAGGGUUUUAUUUGAUGACUAAGAGGUCAAUACCAUCAUCAUGAUAUUAAGGAUGAAGUAUUGCCUAUCUUGAAAACAUACUUAACUUGUACUGUAAGCGUUCUUGCAUAGUUCACUGAAAACCAGAAAAGGUAUUGAUUAUCUUUUAGGACUCAGGAAAAAUGUUGAGAGAUGGAAAUUCCUCAGUAACAGAAUGGUUGAGGAAUAGAAAUUGAGGUAAGGCUACUCCAUACAGAUGAAUGAUGCGUGACAGAAAUAUUGAUACCCAAGUAAUGACUUGACAAUUUUUUUUAUGGCCUUUGCCUGGAGUAUCCAUUCUAGAACUGGUAAAAUGUAUGAAGGGCCUUUAUAGUAGCAGCACACCAGUUUGCUAUUUAAUAUAAAGUCUUAUAGGAAUGUGGCAGGUGACAUAAUAUUUUAGAGUUGUUAAGUACAAUCCUGGCACCCUAGCAUAAGCUGAUUCUUUAGCACAUGUUUUCUAAUCAGUGUGUGCUCCAUUGAGAUGAUAGGGUAGGAUAUGGCUUACUCAGCUUCUAGGGGUAUUGUCUGUUCUGCGCUGAAUUUGCUGGAAGGAUAUUAAAUGCGUCAAAGCUAAUGCGGCUCAGACUUUGGUGGGCUACCUGGACUGGAAGGUGGCUGGAGAAGGGUCCAUGGUACACACCUGCAUUAAGGCUUCCCAAGACACCCACUGUGGACACAAACGAAAAUUAAAGGGUUGCUACUAAACAAAGCUGGGAAAAUGUACCAGGCAAACAUGGAUAUUUGAGGAGACACCUGACCUGUCACAUGUGAAACACCCUUAACUUACUGUAAUCAUGUUGGAGAAAUGGAUCAGUCAGUUCUAGAGGCACUCUCAGAUGGCAAUGCACUACAAAGUAGUAUGAACUGACGAUGUGGAACAACGAGCAUUCCCCAUAUGCUCCACAUUUCUUCCAAAAGCUGCUGUUGGUUAACAGUAGUAACAAACAGAGCUGUUGCCUGCUUCUUCAACUGGAUGCAUUUCCUGCCUGUAGAUUUUAAUAACAUUCCUUGGGUAUGUCCCUUGCACAAGUUGAGCCACCUACCUUGAAGAUAUGUGGGAUUUCAUGGCAUAAAUUAAUUAGACCCUAUAACUUCAAUCACUUUUGAGAUGACCCUAGUUUGUGCCUGAAGCAUUCUUCUGGAGUUCCUAAAUUUCCAAAGCUGCCUCUGUAAAGGCUUUGAGGAUUCCUAGCCUUCGAUGUCAGAGGCAGAUGACUGUACUAUACAUAGUGACAGAGCACCAAAAUCAUCACAGAACAAAGAAGAAUCCCUUGUUCUCAUUCAGCACAAAGACUUGCCUCGGUCUUUGGAACACACAUUAAGUUCAGCACCUGACAAGACAGUCCACUGUGGUGCUAAGGUUUGGACCUGGAAGAUCCUGUGGUCUUCUGAAAUGAUGUGGUUGAAUGACAAUAUCUUCAUCACUGGUUCCCAUGAAUCUCCAAGUGCUGAGACUGUUUAAUUGUUCUGCCUCUGUCUGUGGUGGAAUGGGACAAAUCUGGAGCUGGGGUAGAUUAUUCUUCCUUGGUUUUUCUUACGCUGAUCACAUCUGAGCAUGGACCGUGGCAUUUAAAGAGGAUCCAGGUGGAUGGCUCCGGGAGCAGGUGAAGAAGCGGGAUCUCUAGGAGAGCAUUCAUCUCAGGGGAAGAAUAAAACUCGGCAACUCUUCACACCUCAGCAAUAAAUAUAUGUGCAGCAGCCUGUUUUAUCACAAUAUGCAGGAACAUCUCACCAAAGUUGCAUUUCCACAGGAAAUGUGGAGCAGCUGAAGCUUUUUACCAGGCAGGACAUUUGCGUUAAUGACCAGCUCUUGACUUCUAAAUCUCAAGUGCCUCCUGUCCCUUCUGGAAUGACACGUAAUUUUUUGAUGGCUUAAUAACUGGUAUAUGAUAUGUAUUUAUUAUUUUGACAUAUAGUAAAAGCAGGAAGACUUUCAAGAAGGUUGAAGAGAAUGUAAAAAUCAGAUGAUGUUUGCAUAAUGGUUACUAAAAACGUUUUCUGCACAUACAGGAAGGAAUAUUUUAGCAUACUUUGCUGAACUUAUGGUGGAUAGGAUUCUUUUAAUUGUAUGUAGCAAAAUACAAACAGGGCCUGACCCUUGAAACAGUACUGGGCAAAUUGCCACUAUGAGAAUUAAUUCAGUAAUUUCCAUGACAUUUCUCACUGUAGCACACACUUCGCUUGUCAUAAAUGUUUACAGGAUGGGAUGCCUGCGUGAAAUGCUGAAGUGUGCGCUUUCUUCUGCAAAGGGGGGAAUAUACCUUGCACUGAGGCUCUUUGAAGUUCUGUAAAUUACUGAAUAUGAUCCUGGUAAUGUAGCAGCAACAUCGUUUAUUUUCACCUGUUCUUUGGCUAAUUGCGUUAUGGGUGCUAUAAAUAUGUCUCCUAUAUAGCCUGGGGUGUGCAGUGGGGAUUAGCAAGAUAAGCAAUUUUACAGAUGAACCUUCUUCCCUCUGUUCUGAGUAAUGCAUGGGAUUCCUGUGGGUUAUUGAAUAACUCUGGAAGUUUAAAGAGUGUUUCAAGUGCUAAUUACAGACUCUAUUAAUUUGUACAGAGCUGGCAAUUCAAAAAUAUCAAGUAGUGCUUCUACCUGCAUGUAUCCUACUUUUCUAGAACUAUAAAUGUUUGAAAAUUGUAUUACCGUGAGCAUCUGCUCAGUCUCAAUCCACUGACUCUGGUAGUGUGCCAAGAACUUCCAUUGUUUUAUUAGCGAAUUGAAAGAAGACAACUGGUAGUGUAAGUGCCGGACCAAGAGCCAGGAUGAUGAUCUAAGUUUUGAUACCUAUUGAUAUAAUGCUUUUGAGGACCUUCUCUCUCUGAUUUCCCUCUCUGAAAUAAUAAAACCUACCUAGCAGUAUGUUAAAAGAUUGAGCAGAUUUGUAAGUUCAUGUCUAUACAUGAAGCUGAAAAGGGUUCUUGUGCUUGACCGUUGCUCUUAUUUCCACUUUGAUGGGUCUAAUAAUCCUCUAUCUUAGCGGCCCCAAGAGAAACUUUUGAUGAAGCUCUGUAAAAGAUGGGGAACCAAAAAGUGUCCUCCAUGCUGCAGCUGAACUUAUGUGGUUCAUUCCUGGAUCUCUUGGGUUGCUCAGGAGCAGAGGAGUCUUGGAUGCCUACUUUGGAAAGGUCAGGCCAUCUAAAAUACACUAGUUGUCAUCUGCAACUAUUCACAUUCCCGAUUGCUGAAGUUUCCUAUGAAAAAUGCAAUUAUUGUGGAUUUUCAUGUUGAUUUAAAAGAAAACAAAAAAAAGUAUUUUGUGGCAUGUUGCAUCAUACUGAAAGGAAAAUAGAGAAAAGCAGAGGAAGAUUGUGCAAAAUUUGUUCAGAAACUACCACGUUGUGUCAAGAAAAAAAACCAACAAACUACUGCCUAUUAAAAGUUAUUCUCUUUAUUAAA